rnacentral:rRNA from 1 species
GACGAACGCUGGCGGCGUGCUUAACACAUGCAAGUCGAACGGAAAGGCCCUGCUUUUGUGGGGUGCUCGAGUGGCGAACGGGGGAGUAACACGUGAGUAACCUGCCCUUGACUUUGGGAUAACUUCAGGAAACUGGGGCUAAUACCGGAUAGGAGCUCCUGCUGCAUGGGGGGGGUUGGAAAGUUUCGGCGGUUGGGGAUGGACUCGCGGCUUAUCAGCUUGUUGGUGGGGUAGUGGCUUACCAAGGCUUUGAAGGGUAGCCGGCCUGGGAGGGUGGCCGGCCACAUUGGGACUGCGAUACGGCCCAGACUCCUACGGGAGGCAACAGUGGGGAAUAUUGCACAAUGGGCGGAAGCCUGAUGCAGCAACGCCGCGUGCGGGAUGACGGCCUUCGGGUUGUAAACCGCUUUCGCCUGUGCCGAAGCGUGAGUGACGGUAAUGGGUAAAGAAGCACCGGCUAACUACGUG